rnacentral:rRNA from 1 species
AUUGAACGCUGGCGGCAGGCUUAACACAUGCAAGUCGAGCGGAGCGAGGGUGCUUGCACCUUAGCUUAGCGGCGGACGGGUGAGUAAUGCUUAGGAAUCUGCCUAUUAGUGGGGGACAACAUUCCGAAAGGGAUGCUAAUACCGCAUACGCCCUACGGAGGAAAGCAGGGGAUCUUCGGACCUUGCGCUAAGAGAUGAGCCUAAGUCGGAUUAGCUAGUUGGUGGGGUAAAGGCCUACCAAGGCGACGAUCUGUGGCGGGUCUGAGAGGAUGAUCCGGCACACGGGGAAUGGGACACGGCCCAGACUCCUGCGGGGGGCAGCAGUGGGGAAUAUUGGACAAUGGGGGGAACCCUGAUCCAGCCAUGCCGCGUGUGUGAAGAAGGCCUUUUGGUUGUAAAGCACUUUAAGCGAGGAGGAGGCGCUCUAAGAUAAUACCCUAGAUGCGUGGACGUUACUCGCAGAAUAAGCACCGGCUAACUCUGUGCCAGCCGCCGCCGUAACAC